rnacentral:rRNA from 1 species
AAAUUGAAGAGUUUGAUCAUGGUCAGGAUUGAACGCUGGCGGCAGGCCUAACACAUGCAAGUCGAACGGUAGUACAGAGAGCUUGCUCUCGGGUGACGAGAGUGGCGGACGGUGAGUAAUGUCUGGGAAACACCUUGCCUGAUGGAGGGGGAUAACUACUGGAAACGGUAGCUAAUACCGCAUAACGUCGCAAGACCAAAGAGGGGGACCUUCGCCUCUUGCCAUCAGAUGUGCCCAGAUGGGAUUACUAGUAAGGUGGGGUAACGGCUCACUAGGCGACGAUCUAGCUGGUCUGAGGAUGACCAGCCACACUGGGAAUCCGGAGACACGGUCCAGACUCCUACGGGAGGCAGCAGUGGGGAAUAUUGCACUGUGGGCGCAAGCCUGAUGCAGCUGCGAUGGCGUGAAAGAAGGCCUUUCGGGUUGUAAAAAGUACUUUCAGCGCGGGGAGGAAGGUGUUGCUGUGGUUGUAACCACAGCCACUGGACGUUACCAGAAGAAGCACCGGCUAACUCCGGCGCCAGCAGCCGCGUAAUACGGGAGGGUGCAAGCGUUGAAUCGGAAUUACUGGAGCGCUAAGCGCGCACGCAGGCGGUCUGUCAAGUCGGAUGUGAAAUCCCAGGCUCAACCGGGAACUGCAUUCGAAACUGGCAGGCUGGGUCUUGUAGAGGGGGGUAGAAUUGAGGUGUAGCGGUGAAAUGCGUAGAGAUCUGGAGAAUACCGGCUGAGUGGUGGGCGGCCCCUGAUAAAGACUGACGCUCAGGUGAAAGCGUGGGAGCAACAGGAUUAGAUACCUCGGGUAGUCCACGCCGUAAAACGAUGUCGAUUGGAGGGUUGGCCCCCUUGAGGCGUGGCUUCCGGAGCCAACGGGCGUUAAAUCGACCGCUGGGGGUACGACGCAAGGUUAAAACUCAGGUAAAAUUGACGGGGAAUCCGCACAAGCGGUGGGAGCAUGUGGUUUAAUUCGAUGCAACGCGAAGAACCUUAACUAGUCUUUGACAUCCACUAAGAACUUUCAGAGAUGGAUUGGUGCCUUCUUGGGAAACUGAGACAGGGUGCUGCAUGGCUUUCUGUCGUCAGCUCGUGUUGUGAAAUGUUAGGUUAAGUCCCCAACGAGCAACUUUAUCCCUUUGUUGCCAAAGUUACAGCCUGGAACUCAAAGGAGACUGCCAGUGAUAAACUGGAGGGAAGGUGGGGAUGACGUCAAGCUUCAUCACGGCCCCCGACCCGGGGGCUACACACGUGCUACAAUGGCGCAUACAAAGAGAAGCGACCUCGCGAGAGCAAGCGGACCUCGCCAAAAAGUGCGUCGUAGUCCGGAUUGAGUCUCGCAGCUCGACUCCAUGAAGUCGAACUAGUAAUCGUAGAUCAGAAUGCUACGGUGAAUACGUUCCCUGGCCUUGCACACACCGCCCGUCACACCAUGUGGGAGUAGGUUGUAAAAGAAGUAGGUAGCUUAACCUUCGGGAGGCGCUUACCACUUUGUGAUUCAUGAUCAGGGCGAAGUCGUAAAAUAAGGUAACCGUAGGGGGAACCUGCGGUUGGAUCACCUCCUUA